AGUAAUAAUCUAAAAGAUAGUUUAGUUUUCCAAACUAAAAAUUAAAUUACUA
rnacentral:tRNA from 1 species